GGUAGAGAAGCGGAGGUGUGAGAGAGAGAAGUGCAGUGUUGAAAAAUGGGUCCAAAGCAUGCAGGCAAGGGAAAGGAGGAAAUUGAGGCCAAGCGAGCCCUCCAGAUGGCACAGCUGACUCUCCUGAGCUUCUUCAAGAGAGCACAACCUGGCAGUUCGGAGCAGCCUGGCACUUCAGGGAGCUCCUGUGACGUGCCUGCAACAGAGGGUGCAUCAUCAUCAUUGGAAGAGGGAGGAUGCUACCCCCUCUUCCCUUUAAAAAUACCCCCUAAGCCACCCCUCCCCUCAGCUGCCUUCGUACUCCUCCUCCUCAGGAUCUUUGAACAUCUGCAUGGCUGUCAGCACUAGAUGCCUGGGAAGCCACACAACCAGGAGAUGAAGGCAUUUUCCCUCUACAACUGGAAUUUGGAACCAACCUGAUCCUGGAGGAAGAGGAGGAGGAAAAGGAGGAGG